UGGGGAAUAUUGCACAAUGGGCGCAAGCCUGAUGCAGCCAUGCCGCGUGUGUGAAGAAGGCCUUCGGGUUGUAAAGCACUUUCAGCGGGGAGGAAGGCGAUAAGGUUAAUAACCUUGUCGAUUGACGUUACCCGCAGAAGAAGCACCGGCUAACUCCGUGCCAGCAGCCGCGGUAAUACGGAGGGUGCAAGCGUUAAUCGGAAUUACUGGGCGUAAAGAGCACGCAGGCGGUCUGUCAAGUCGGAUGUGAAAUCCCCGGGCUCAACCUGGGAACUGCAUUCGAAACUGGCAGGCUAGAGUCUUGUAGAGGGGGGUAGAAUUCCAGGUGUAGCGGUGAAAUGCGUAGAGAUCUGGAGGAAUACCGGUGGCGAAGGCGGCCCCCUGGACAAAGACUGACGCUCAGGUGCGAAAGCGUGGGGAGCAAACAGG
rnacentral:rRNA from 1 species